rnacentral:rRNA from 1 species
GUCCACGCCGUAAACGAUGGAUACUAGCUGUUGGGGCAACUUCAGUGGCUAAGCGAAAGUGAUAAGUAUCCCACCUGGGGAGUACGUUCGCAAGAAUGAAACUCAAAGGAAUUGACGGGGCCCGCACAAGCGGUGGAGCAUGUGGUUUAAUUCGAUGAUACGCGAGGAACCUUACCAAGGCUUAAAUGUAGUCUGACCGAUUUGGAAACAGAUCUUUCGCAAGACAGAUUACAAGGUGCUGCAUGGUUGUCGU